ACUCAAAUGAAUUGACGGGGACCCGCACAAGCGGUGGAGCGUGUGGUUUAAUUCGACGAUAAGCGGAGAACCUUACCAGGGCUUGACAUCCCGGUCGUAUCUCUGGGAAACCAGAGAGUCAGUUUGCUGGACCGGUGACAGGCGCUGCAUGGCCGUCGUCAGCUCGUGUCGUGAGAUGUUGGGUUAAGUCCCGCAACGAGCGCAACCCUCGUCGUCUGUUAUAUUUCUCAGACGAGACUGCCUGGGUUAACCAGGAGGAAGGUGAGGAUGACGUCAGGUCAGCAUGGCCCUUAUGCCCUGGGCGACACACGCGCUACAAUGGCCGACACAAUGGGAUGCGAAAGCGCGAGCUGGAGCUAAUCCCAUCAAAGUCGGUCCCAGUUCGGAUUGGAGGCUGCAACUCGCCUCCAUGAAGCCGGAAUCGCUAGUAAUCGCAGAUCAGCCACGCUGCGGUGAAUACGUUCUCGGGUCUUGUACACACCGCCCGU
rnacentral:rRNA from 1 species